AAAAAAGCCAACUUGUUCUUUUUCUCCUUUACUACUACUAAUAUAACCAGAUUGAAACUUUAAGUAAAAGAUACACAAUCGGUAUACGAGGCUCCAGCUCCUUCUGAGAAGUUCGGGAUCCAUAAAUCAUUUUUCUUUCCUCUUAGCUGAAUUGCUGUGGAUUUAACAACUAUACUGACUUCAAUGGCUCCAAAUACCAGGAUCAAAAUGGUGGCUUUUAUCCUGUCUUUUGCUGCAAAGGAAAUUUUCUUUGCCGGGAGCCUGACAUUGCUGAUGACAAGAAGGGAUGCUUGUAUAAACUGAAGAGAUCCCUGCAAAAGAACAAAAAGUUGAUUGGAGGUGUUGGUUUGGGAAUUUUAAUCUUUGAGGUGGCAGCCAUGGUGAUCUCCAUGAUCCUAUUUUUCAAAAUUGAUGAUCUUUCAUAUGACUGAGAUCUCUGCUGGUACUGCCUCCCUCCCUGCUGUGAGAACCUCACACAUCUAAGCGAUGAUAUUUACUGCAUGAAAAAUGCUACUUUGUAUUAAUAAAUAAUGCUAUGUAUUCA
rnacentral:lncRNA from 1 species